CCAUCGCGUAAGGGAUAGUAGUGGUUAUACUUUUUUUUUGGCUUGGGAAAAGCGUUGGCGAAAAAAGAUAGUAGCGGAUAGUCCGACCCUUU
rnacentral:sRNA from 1 species